rnacentral:rRNA from 1 species
CCUACGGGGGGCAGCAGUGGGGAAUAUUGGGCAAUGGGCGCAAGCCUGACCCAGCAACGCCGCGUGAAGGAAGAAGGCUCUCGGGUUGUAAACUUCUUUUAUCAGGGACGAAGCAAGUGACGGUACCGGAUGAAUAAGCCACGGCUAACUCCGUGCCAGCAGCCGCGGGAAUACGUAGGUGGCAAGCGUUAUCCGGAGUUACUGGGUGGAAAGGGCGGGUAGGCGGGAAAGCAAGUCCGAUGUGAAAACCCUGGGCUCAACCUGUGGCCUGCAUUUGAAACUGUUUUUCUUGAGUACUGGAGCGCCAGCCGUCAUUCCUUGUGUAGCGGUGCAAUGCGUAGAUAUUAGGCGGAACACCAGUGGCGAAGGCGGUCUGCUGGACAGCAACUGACGCUGCGGCGC